AGUCGUGGUCGAGCGAGCGCGCCGGUAGCCCGCGACUGCCUGCGUGCGCAUUCCCGCGCUUUUCCAGGAUUUAUAACCGCGUAAACAAUAUUUAUUGGACUUUCUCUCCUGUACUGUAAUUGAAAUUGUGGUGUUCUCAUUUUGAAUUUUUUGUGCGGUGAUUUAAGUUUUUUUUAUCAAGAUGGAGGUAGGAGUCCAGAUCGUGGGUAUAAUCCUGCGCCUCCUGAACUUCCUGCUGGCGCCUCUGUUCUGGUUCCGCGCCAGGGAUCACCGCCGACUGCCGCCCGUCACCAACCCGGUGCUGCUGAAGAGCGCUGCCGAGUUAGCUGAGGCUAUCAGGAAUGGUGAGAUAACGAGCGAGAAACUAGUGACGAUCUACAUCGAGCGUGUCAAAGAAGUGAACCCUUACAUCAAUGCGGUCGUCGAUGAAAGAUACAGGGCUGCCACAGAAGAUGCUAAGGCUGUUGACCGACAGAUAGAGGAAGCGAAGAAGAAUGGCACCUUUGAAGACUUGGUGAAGAAUAAGCCGUUGCUUGGUGUACCAUUUACGGUGAAGGAGAGCUGUUCUCUUGCUGGGCUAUCAAACUCAGUAGGCUGCCUAGAAAACGCUGGCCGUCGAGCGACCACGGACGGUGGUGUCGUGAGCCUCGUGAAGAAAGCCGGAGCCAUCCCACUGCUGGUCUCCAACACCCCCGAGCUAUGCCUCGGAUGGGAGACCACUAACCUGCUGAGGGGGACUACGAAUAACCCGUAUUGUUUGAAUAGAACGCCUGGGGGUUCUUCUGGUGGCGAGGCAGCGCUACUGUCGAGCGCGGCGUCAGCGCUGAGCGUGUCGUCGGACAUCGCGGGCUCCAUCCGCCUCCCCGCCGCCUUCUGCGGGCUCUUCGGACACAAGCCCACGCCGGGCAUAAUCUCAAUAGAAGGCCACAUCCCGACCCUCAGCGAUGAGAACUUCCCCAAGUUCCUCACCGUCGGACCCAUGACACGACGAGCUGAUGAUCUUAAGCUGUUGAUGAACAUUAUGGCGGGAGAACAUAAUCAACUGAACCUGGAUGUACCUGUUGAUAUGAAGGAUGUUAAGGUGCACUAUAUGUUCGAGGCGACAGACUCGGUAGCGCUGCUGAAGGUAGAGAGCUGCAUCAACGACGCCAUCCGUAACGCCGUCGCUUACCUCGAGAAAGAUUGUGGCUGUACUGUUAGUGAGGAAAAAUUCAAAGAUUUAGAAGACUCAGUCGAAAUAUCGGUGUCGGUAUUCUUUUCAAUGAAGGACAUUCCCAAUCUGUUGCAAGACCCCGCCAAUCCGAAACGUGAUAAAAGUUUAAUCGUUGAACUUAUAAAAUAUAUGUUCGGUGGCGGGUCGCGAUCACUACAAGGACUGAGUUUCUCUGUUAUAAAUAGAAGUCACUUGUUCAUACCGGAUUCUCGAAGAGGUUACUACAACGGCAAGGCGAAUAAACUACGUGAGCAUAUGCAGAAAGUCCUAGGCGACAACGGCGUGUUCAUCUACCCUGUAUUCAUCAGCCAGGCACAUCACCACAACCAGGUGUUCCUCAAGGCUUCCGGCGUCAUGUACACCAUGGCCUUCAACAUCCUCGGCAUGCCGGCCACCACUGUACCCAUGGGGCUGUAUAAAGGACUGCCUGUUGGUGUGCAGGUGAUAGCAGCCCCAAAUCAAGACAGACUGUGUUUAGCAGUAGCCAAACAACUGGAGAUCGGCUUCGGUGGAUGGAAACCGCCGCAGUAACGUUAUACCUAAGUAAAACAUACCAAAUACUUUGAUAAGCUAAGCAAACCACAUGUAUGGCGUGGUUUAACUUUUAUACCAGAACAAAAUAAUAUAGGAUUUUAAUAGAAAUUUUCAUAUUACUUUAUUCUAUUUUGUACGUAAAUGUAUGUGAUAGUAAACUAUUAAAUUGAUCAUGUAUAAUCGGGUACUUGACUAUUUUUGAAAUCGUUAUACAUACCUGAUGUAAAAUCGAUUAUUGAAAUUUUCUAUCCUUUUCCCGUUAAACGGUAUUUAUAUAACCCUAUUUGUAAGAAAGUCUUCAAUGAGUAUUUAUUGUUUUGUUGCUCGCCGUGUUGUUUUUUGUUAGAGAUAUAAAAUAGUCGAGCACCCAAUUUGUGAAGACUUUGCAAUGUAAUAAAUUAUUAAUUAAUGAUUAAUUCAAUUUUGAAAAAUAUGGUUACUUGCGUGUAUCUAUUUGUUUAACGUAUAGUUUUUUAUUUAUCUAAAUCUAAUCUUUAUUUGUCUGGAUUCCGAAUCUAACAGUAUUUAAAUAUUUUAUUGUUUAAAACUCAAACCUUUUGAAUUAUUGUUAUUGGUCAAAUUGUAUAGGAACGUAAUAUAAUUACUUCAUAAUUUAUUUAUAAUAAAGUAUUGUACAGUUUGUAUGCUGAUAAAUGAUAAUUAUAGAUGUUUUAAGCCUUAUUACCAAGGAUAUACGAGGUAAUGGAUGUUUAAAAUUUAUUUGUGAUGGGUGCUUUAAAUUAUUUCGUUACCAUAAAUUAGCAUUCCAAAUUAAAUAAUUGUUUAGAAGCGCUGUGAAUGUAAUAUUUAGUUGUGAACUAAAUAUUAGGUGCAUUAUUCGUGUAGAUUUAUAAGUUGUGGUUCGCACUCCCUUUCAAUUGUAAUUCUAAUUGGUUAUAGCGAAACAAAUAAAUAAAGUGGUGCGAA
rnacentral:misc_RNA from 1 species